rnacentral:tRNA from 1 species
UCCCUGGUGGUCCAGUGGGUAGGACUCCAUGCUCCCAAUGCACGGUGCCUAGGUUCAAUUCCUAAUGAGGGAA